rnacentral:ribozyme from 13 species
UCAUCGAAGGAAUGGAAAAAAGAAAAGAAGAAGAAUCAACCACGGAAGAAGAUCUUGACGAAUCUGAAAUCGACUCUGAUUCUGUUUUUGUCUCUUCUUCUUCUAUUUCUUCUUCAUCUUUGUUUUCUUCUACUGUUUC